rnacentral:rRNA from 1 species
UAGCUAGUUGGUGAGGUAACGGCUCACCAAGGCGACGAUCCGUAGCUGGUCUGAGAGGACGACCAGCCACACCGGAACUGAGACACGGUCCGGACUCCUACGGGAGGCAGCAGUGGGGAAUAUUGGACAAUGGGCGAAAGCCUGAUCCAGCGACGCCGCGUGGGUGAAGAAGGCCUGCGGGUUGUAAAGCCCUUUCGGUGGGGAUAAAAAGCCUUGGUUUAACACACCAGGGUCUUGAUCCAACCCAAGGAAGAAGCACCGGCUAACUCUGUGCCAGCAGCCGCGGUAAUACAGAGGGUGCGAGCGUUAAUCGGAAUUACUGGGCGUAAAGCGCACGUAGGUGGCUUUGCAAGUCGGAUGUGAAAUCCCCGGGCUUAACCUGGGAACUGCAUUCGAGACUGCUCUGCUAGAGUAUGGGAGAGGGAAGUGGAAUUUCCGGUGUAGCGGUGAAAUGCGUAGAUAUCGGAAGGAACAUCAGUGGCGAAGGCGACUUCCUGGACCAAUACUGACACUCAAGUGCGAAAGCGUGGGGAGCAAACAGGAUUAGAUACCCUGGUAGUCCACGCCAUAAACGAUGAGAACUGGAUGUCGGGAGGGUCUGCCUCUCGGUGUCGUAGCUAACGCGUUAAGUUCUCCGCCUGGGGAGUACGGCCGCAAGGUUGAAACUCAAAUGAAUUGACGGGGACCCGCACAAGCGGUGGAGCAUGUGGUUUAAUUCGAUGCAACGCGAAGAACCUUACCUGGUCUUGACAUCCUAGGAAUCCCGCAGAGAUGUGGGAGUGCCUUCGGGAACCUGGAGACAGGUGCUGCAUGGCUGUCGUCAGCUCGUGUCGUGAGAUGUUGGGUUAAGUCCCGCAACGAGCGCAACCCUUGCCCUUAGUUGCCAGCAUUUAGUUGGGAACUCUAAGGGGACCGCCGGUGACAAACCGGAGGAAGGUGGGUAUGACGUCAAGUCAUCAUGGCCCUUAUGACCAGGGCUACACACGUGCUACAAUGGUCGGUACAGAGGGUUGCCAAACCGCGAGGUGGAGCCAAUCCCAGAAAGCCGAUCGUAGUCCGGAUCGCAGUCUGCAACUCGACUGCGUGAAGUCGGAAUCGCUAGUAAUCGCGAAUCAGCGAUGUCGCGGUGAAUACGUUCCCGGGUCUUGUACACACCGCCCGUCACACCAUGGGAGUUGAUUGCACCAGAAGUAGGUAGCCUAACCGCAAGGAGGGCGCUUACCACGGUGUGGUCAAUGACUGGGGUGAAGUCGAAACAAGGUAGCCGUACGGGAACGUGCG